UAUCUAUUUAUACCUACAAUAUACUUAAAAAUAUAAUGUUCUCUGUUCAGAAGUACUUUUAAUUUGCAUUUAUUCAAAUUUUGCAUUCUGGCAUAGUAAUUAUUAUUAAGAACUAACAUUAUCCGUAUUUACUACAAAAAUACUUAGUCAGAUGGUUUGAAAGAUAAAUAAUGAAAUCACAUAACUUUCUACCUCCAAAUUUGCAAAUGAGAACGAUGAUAAAUCAAAAUAUUGUUUCCAAUAUAUAAUUUUGAUAGUUGAAGAUACUAUAAAAUUAAUUAAAUAUUCAACUACUCAAGUUAAUUUCAAAGAAGUUAAAAAAUCAAGUCUGACAAUAUGCAUUCCAGAAGAAAACUAAUUCCAAUAAUAUAGUAAA